rnacentral:rRNA from 1 species
UAGGCCGUUACCCUACCAACUAUCUAAUCUUGCGCGUGCCCAUCUCUAUCCACCGGAGUUUUCAAUAUUAAUUGAUGCCAAUCAAUAUAUUAUGGGGUAUUAAUCUUCCUUUCGAAAGGCUAUCCCCCUGAUAAAGGCAGGUUGCACACGUGUUCCGCACCCGUACGCCGCUCUCUCUGUCCCGAAAGACAAAUACCGCUCGGCUUGCAUGKGAKAGCACGGSCCMKAUGGGUUGUUAARUAUUUUKGGGUAUAGGGRUAAACCUACUCCUUGUGAKGAGAGARSSUGAAGGUACUAUAMGAAWAAGCACCGGCUAACUCCGUGCCAGCAGCCGCGGUAAUACGGAGGGUGCAAGCGUUAUCCGGAUUUAUUGGGUUUAAAGGGUCCGUAGGCGGAUCUGUAAGUCAGUGGUGAAAUCUCACAGCUUAACUGUGAAACUGCCAUUGAUACUGCAGUUCUUGAGUAAGGUAGAAGUGGCUGGAAUAAGUAGUGUAGCGGUGAAAUGCAUAGAUAUUACUUAGAACACCAAUUGCGAAGGCAGGUCACUAUGUCUUAACUGACGCUGAUGGACGAAAGCGUGGGGAGCGAACAGGAUUAGAUACCCUGGUAGUCCACGCCGUAAACGAUGCUAACUCGUUUUUGGGUCUUCGGAUUCAGAGACUAAGCGAAAGUGAUAAGUUAGCCACCUGGGGAGUACGAACGCAAGUUUGAAACUCAAAGGAAUUGACGGGGGCCCGCACAAGCGGUGGAUUAUGUGGUUUAAUUCGAUGAUACGCGAGGAACCUUACCAAGGCUUAAAUGGGAAUUGACAGACGCAGAAAUGUGUUUUUCUUCGGACAAUUUUCAAGGUGCUGCAUGGUUGUCGUCAGCUCGUGCCGUGAGGUGUUAGGUUAAGUCCUGCAACGAGCGCAACCCCUGUCACUAGUUGCCAUCAUUAAGUUGGGGACUCUAGUGAGACUGCCUACGCAAGUAGAGAGGAAGGUGGGGAUGACGUCAAAUCAUCACGGCCCUUACGCCUUGGGCCACACACGUAAUACAAUGGCCGGUACAGAGGGCAGCUACCUAGCGAUAGGAUGCAAAUCUCGAAAGCCGGUCUCAGUUCGGAUUGGAGUCUGCAA